rnacentral:lncRNA from 10 species
CAGGAAGCUAACUUCAUGCUUUCUCUCAUCUUUGUGUCUAACACCUUCACAAUACAGCACAUUGGGCUCUUUCAGUGGAAAAUAAAAAUCACUGUGCGAGAGGGGCUGAUUGCUGAUGAUUGAAGCUUAUCGAAAUAAAACCAGAACACAUGCAUGUUCUUAUUCAGAGAAGGACGGCUCAUAGCCCUGAAAGUCCCAGUUCAAGCUUCCACAAUCAUCCUACACAAGAGCACUGCUUCUCACAGGACUGCCUCAGCCUGGCAGGAUUCAGUCUCCUGCUCUGAGGGAAAAACAGGAAGUCAAGGAUCAAGACCGAGUGCUCAACUGAGAUCAGAAAGGAGGACACACAGUGACUUGGCCAAAUCACUGGAGAUUCACACAGCAGAGCUCAGACGAGUGCUAUCAGCACAGCUGAGGAAGACAACAGUUAGGGUGCAAGGAUCCUGAAAGAGAAACAUUGGUUGUGUUUUUAUUCCUUGGGUAUAAGAAUCCUGAAAGAGAAAGGCAUCUGAACCUUGGAGGCAUGGGGUUCAUCUCAUCCUCAUCCAGCCUGUGAUGAUGGAGCUGUUUUCACCAGAAACGUGAGGAGACUCAUACCACUUGAGAACUAUUUGUUGGAGUGCCAGAUUAUUUAAGGGCCUUUGCAUGUUUCAAGUCCUCUUCUUAAAGUAAGAAUACUCUCCACAUUUAUAACAGCAACAAAAACACCAAUGUCAGCACAAAAUGCAAAAACGGAGGCACUUCUAUGUCAUAAUGAUACAUCAGAGUUCUGCUCAACUCUUUUUUAGAAAAAGAAGCUCAGACUUACACACAUCCACUUUCUUAAAUAAAUAAUUGUUCAAUGAAAGUUACCCUGGGAGGAUUGCUGUCUCCAGCUCCCAAGCACUGCUCAUCUGCUGACGGGGGGUACUCUGUGACUGUUACAGAAAUUGCUCUUAAAUGCAUAAAACACAGAAGAGAAUUUUUGGAAAAUCCCUUAUUAUUCAUUAAAGCAUUUUAGGGCCUCAUUAAUCCAGAUGGGUUAAUCGGUUGUUGAUUUGCCAGGUUGUUAAGCAUCCAUUGUCAGAUGCUGAUGGGGUGUGAGAAAAUAUAAUUCCGAUCUACCAAAGAGUCACCUGAAUGAGGCUAGCACUUCAUCAGGGAAGGCUGUAUCUUCCUCAGGGAAGGCUGUGUCUUCAUCAGGGAAGGCUGUAUCUUCCUCAGAGAAGGCUGUAGCUUCCUCAGAGAAGGGUGUAUCUUUACCAGGGAAGGCUAUGUCUUCAUCAGGGAAGGCUGUAUCUUCCUCAGAGAAGGCUGUAUCUUCACCAGGGAAGGCUGUAUCUUCAUUACGGAAGGCAGUAUCUUCUGGGGAUAAAUUAAGCUGGGCAUCCAGCUUCUUCUUUAAUUUCCAAAACUUCUCUGUAUCACAAAACAUUCCUCAUUCUUUGGGUGUUUUUUUUUUGUUUUUUUGUUUUUUUUUUUUUUGCCUACCUAAGGUCUGAAAUGAUGUCAGAAGCCAUUUUCAAAAGCUAGUUCGUAACAGGUCAACAGGUCAGUCGCACAUAUGCACUUAGGCACAGAAGCCCAACAUUUAAAGAUGUUUGUGUGUACGUGUCUGUAUACGUGUAUACACAUCUGUGUAUAUGUUUGUGUCUACACAUGUAUACACGUCUAGGCGUAUAUGUUUGUGUCUACACGUCUGUGUAUAUGUUUGUGUCUACAUGUGUCUAUGUGUUUGUCUAUAUGUCCAUAUGCGUAUAUUUGUGUGUGUCUGCGUGUGUGUGCAUGAGUUUGGCUUUGACUUUGUUUCAAAGUUCUUAGCUAGAGCCUGUCCACAUCUUCAGCCCUUCAGACACAAAUGGUAUUCAGGUUAUCAAGGGGAUUCUUUAGCCAGGGCUUAAAAACUCAACUUUCUUUCUUUCCAAACCUUGACUGACUGAGAGUCACAUAACAGCAGUGAGCACAGUGAGAAAAGUCCCUGGAUUAGAAGUUGGAAAAUAUGAUUCAGGGUCCUGGUUCUGUUUUAAGAGAGGAAGUGACCAUCAUUAG